GAGUAACACGUGAGUAACCUGCCCCCUUCUUCGGGAUAACGUUCGGAAACGGAUGCUAAUACCGGGUAUUUACCUCAUGUCGCAUGGUGUGGGGUGGAAAGGUUUUUUCUGGUGGGGGAUGGGCUCGCGGCCUAUCAGCUUGUUGGUGGGGUGAUGGCCUACCAAGGCUUUGACGGGUAACCGGCCUGAGAGGGUGACCGGUCACAUUGGGACUGAGAUACGGCCCAGACUCCUACGGGAGGCAGCAGUGGGGAAUUUUGCACAAUGGGCGAAAGCCUGAUGCAGCGACGCCGCGUGAGGGAUGACGGCCUUCGGGUUGUAAACCUCUUUCGCUCAUGGUCAAGGCUAGUUUUUGUUCUAGUUGAGGGUAGUGGGUAAAGAAGCGCCGGCUAACUACGUGCAGCAGCCGCGGUAAUACGUAGGGCGCGAGCGUUGUCCGGAAUUAUUGGGCGUAAAGGGCUUGUAGGCGGCUUGUCGCGU
rnacentral:rRNA from 1 species